rnacentral:lncRNA from 1 species
GUGUGUUGGCUAUUCACAGCGAGGCUACUUAGUUUGAUUGUACGUUUUCUUAAUCUCUAUCUAUUUAGAUCCUUGCUGUGCAUGUUGGCUAUUGUAGGUUCAGAUUCACUGUUUGGGGUAGGAUGCACAUAGAUGGAAUCUAUCGAUCUUAGUAGAAAAGUAGAGUCCUAUGCGAUUCGCAAGACUAAGUUCAGAAAUCUCUGACCAGAGUAAGAAUGAAUACUGAAAAAAAAAUUCUAUAAAAUUCAUAGAUGAACUCGAGUCAAGCCAAUCUAGCAUAUGACUGACGAUGGAUUUUGAUGAGUUCUCUAUGACCUCCAUCUAGUCGGGACUCAUGAUAAAGGGAUUGUAUCACACGAUAACUGCACCUAGG